UUUGCAAUGUUUUAUGUCGAUAUUAUUGUUUCAAAUGUUUACGUUGUUAAUUCGAUUUCGUAAAAGUAAACAUAUAAUUUUAAAGUUAUUUCUUAUAGUAUGCACAUACAGUAGCAUUCCCAAAAGGUACAUUACACGAUUUAAUAUUACUAAUAAUGAGAAGUAACACUAUUAUUGAUUCAGCUUAUACUGGUAUUGAAUUAAUUUAUUUUUAAAAUGAAGCAAAUCAAUAUAAGUACCUAAUAAAUAAAUAAACUACCAUCAUUUUUUUAAAUACACGCUAUUCGCAUUGUGAAUGUCUCUCAAAACCAACAAGCUUGGUAAAGCAUUUUUAGUGCACAAAUAAAAUUUAAAAUUAUUAAAAACUACGAAAAGAAUGAAGUCAUUGAUUCAAAUGGUUCCCGUUUUUUGUCUUAUCUUCCAGAAGAACACCUUAAAAACAAAUUUAGCGUACGUAAUUGAAUUUAUUAUUAAAAUAAUUCUUGCAUUAAUAUCACAUUAUAAUUUGUCACGAUUAAAUCUAUUGAUUUGUUUUGAGUAA